rfam:Glycine max cultivar Williams 82 chromosome 20, whole genome shotgun sequence.
GUUCCCAAUGAUGUUUUUGCUCUUUUACCAUGCUAAUUCUGAUUACAUAUGAUUAAUGCUUUUAGAUUGUUAUACUGAGGGAGCU